GAUGAACGCUGGCGGCGUGCUUAACACAUGCAAGUCGAACGAGCAGCCAGAAGUGCUUGCACAUCUGGUGGGCGAGUGGCGGACGGGUGCGUAACACGUAGGAACCUGCCCUGAGGAGGGGGACAACCACUGGAAACGGUGGCUAAUCCCACAUGGUCUCCUAGAGGUGAGAACCUCAUGGAGUAAAACUCCGGUGCCUCAGGAGGGGCCUGCGGCCUAUCAGGUAGUUGGUGGGGUAAAAGCCUACCAAGCCGAUGACGGGUAGGGGGCGUGAGAGCGUCGGCCCCCACACGGGAACUGAGACACGGUCCCGACGCCUACGGGCGGCAGCAGUGAGGAAUCUUCGCCCAAGUCGGGGGAAACCCUGAGGCAGCGACGCCGCGUGCGGGAGGAAGGCCGUUCGGGUCGUAAACCGUCUUUUCUGGGGGACGAGGAAGGACGGUACCCCAGGAAUAAGUCCCGGCUAACUACGUG
rnacentral:rRNA from 1 species